rnacentral:pre_miRNA from 1 species
UGUUCAGUUCACUCUAAGUAUGAACGCCAAGCAUAUUAUUGAGUUUGGUGUUCUACCUUACAGUGAACAGAGCG